rnacentral:rRNA from 1 species
UACGUGGGGUGCGAGCGUUGUCCGGAAUCACUGGGCGUAAAGGGCGCGUAGGCGGUUUGAUAAGGGUGUGGUGAAAGUCCGGGGCUCAACCCCGGAUCUGCCGUGCCGACUGUCAAACUCGAGGGCUGUAGAGGCAGACGGAAUUCCGGGUGUAGCGGUGGAAUGCGUAGAGAUCCGGAGGAAGACCGGUGGCGAAGGCGGUCUGCUGGGCAGUUUCUGACACUGAUGCGCGACAGCGUGGGGAGCAAACAGG